rnacentral:lncRNA from 1 species
UGCCCCCAAAUUGAAGCUGGUCAAAAUUAUAUCCAUCUUAAAACCACUCCUGCACCGUCAUCUCCUCCAAACAUCCAUCUCAAAACCACCUCCAACCUCAUCGCAGGCCCAUCUCAAAACCAUCUACUGCACCAUCUUCCCACCACCAUUGCAAUCGCAGAUCUAAAAUAGUGAUUUGGGGGUUGGGCGGUGGAUCUGAGAUCUGAAAUUGCGAUUUGGGGGUUGGGCGAAGGAUCUGAUUUGGGGGUUGGGCGGUGGAUUUGAGCCAAAGUUUCUUUUAACUUUUGUCUUUUACACAUCGGAUCUUUUCGCUGUCAAAUAUAUCCCAAAUUGAUCAGUUUUCACACAUACGGGCUGAAAUUUGACACCUCUAAGUUCUCGUUUUUAGGAGAGCUGAAGCUAGGGGAGCUAUUAGACACACCUCCUCCUGGUUUAGAUGAAGCUAUUGCAAUCUCUAAGGUUAUACAAUUUCUUGAAUCGCAAGAGUAUAGCAUGUUUACGCGUAUAGUUUUUGAUACUGCACCCACAGGUCAUACACUGCGGCUUUUGUCAUUGCCUGAUUUCAUGGAUAAAUCGAUUGGGAAGAUACUGAAUAUUGGGGAUUAAAGAUCAAAUUUAUAUACUCUGUAUCUGUAUUUCGGGGGAAAUGAGAAGUUAUUAGGGGAAAUGAUUUGCACAUGGUAGGUUGGUAAUAAAAGAGACAUUAAAUGACAAAUGUACCCUCAUGUGACCUGCACAUGGUCACAUUUAACUGAAAAAACAAACUGAGUUAUGCCUAAAGGACAAAACGUGAUCGAUUUUAAAACAUAAAGUACAAAACUUAUCAAUUUUGAACAUAAAGGACAACGCCUGAAAAUAGGUAUAAAGAUAAAGGAC